GCUUUCUUGGUGUAACGGUCAGCACAUUCGGCGCGUAUUCGAGAGGUCCAGGUUCGAGUCCCGGCGAGGGCA
rnacentral:tRNA from 1 species